UUGCCUCAGUAACGGCGAGUGAAGCGGCAACAGCUCAAAUUUGAAAUCUGGCUCCUUCGGGGCCCGAGUUGUAAUUUGCAGAGGAUGCGUCGGGUACGGGUGCCUUCCGAGUUCCCUGGAACGGGACGCCAUAGAGGGUGAGAGCCCCGUCUGGUAGGAUACCCAGCCCGUGUGACGCUCCCUCGACGAGUCGAGUAGUUUGGGAAUGCUGCUCUAACGGGAGGUAUACUCCUUCCAAGGCUAAAUACCGGCUGGAGACCGAUAGCGCACAAGUAGAGUGAUCGAAAGAUGAAAAGCACUUUGAAAAGAGAGUCAAACAGCACGUGAAAUUGUUAAAAGGGAAGCGCUCGCUACCAGACUUGGGUUCGGCGGUUCAACCGGGGCCACGCCCCGGGGCAUUCCGCCGGCCCAGGCCAGCAUCAGCUUUCCGUCGGGGGUAAAGGCGUCGGGAAUGUGGCUCCCCUUCGGGGGAGUGUUAUAGCCCGUCGUGUCAUACCCUUCGGGGGGCUGAGGUACGCGCUUCUGCAAGGAUGCUGGCGUAAUGGUAGCUAGUGACCCGUCUUGAAACACGGACCAAGGAGUCAACCUUAUGUGCGAGUGCCCGGGCGUAAAACCCCAGCGCGGAAUGAAAGUGAACGUAGGUGAGAGCUUCGGCGCAUCACCGACCGAUCCUGAUGUCCUCGGACGGAUUUGAGUGAGAGCAUAUAGGGUUGGACCCGAAAGAAGAUGAACUAUGCGUGUGUAGGGUGAAGCCAGAGGAAACUCUGGUGGAGGCUCGCAGCGGUUCUGACGUGCAAAUCGAUCGUCAAACAUGCGCAUGG
rnacentral:rRNA from 1 species